rnacentral:rRNA from 1 species
UACGUAGGGGGCGAGCGUUGUCCGGAUUUAUUGGGCGUAAAGAGCUCGUAGGCGGUUUGGCAAGUCGGAUGUGAAAACUCCAGGCUCAACCUGGAGACGCCACUCGAGACUGCCAUGACUAGAGUCCGGUAGGGGACCACGGAAUUCCUGGUGUAGCGGUGAAAUGCGUAGAUAUCUGGAGGAACACCGGUGGCGAAGGCGGCGUUCUGGACUGCAACUGACACUGAGAAACGAAAGCCAGGGGAGCAAACGGG